GAUGAACGCUAGCGGCAGGCUUAACACAUGCAAGUCGAGGGGCAGCAUAAUGGAUAGCAAUAUCUAUGGUGGCGACCGGCGCACGGGUGCGUAACGCGUAUGCAACCUACCUUUAACAGGGGGAUAACACUGAGAAAUUGGUACUAAUACCCCAUAAUAUCAUAGAAGGCAUCUUUUAUGGUUGAAAAUUCCGAUGGUUAGAGAUGGGCAUGCGUUGUAUUAGCUAGUUGGUGGGGUAACGGCUCACCAAGGCGACGAUACAUAGGGGGACUGAGAGGUUAACCCCCCACACUGGUACUGAGACACGGACCAGACUCCUACGGGAGGCAGCAGUGAGGAAUAUUGGUAAAUGGACGCAAGUCUGAACCAGCCAUGCCGCGUGCAGGAUGACGGCUCUAUGAGUUGUAAACUGCUUUUGUACGAGGGUAAACGCAGAUACGUGUAUCUGUCUGAAAGUAUCGUACGAAUAAGGAUCGGCUAACUCCGUG
rnacentral:rRNA from 1 species